UGAUGAAUGCUUCAUGGAUAAGCAUAGCCAA
rnacentral:piRNA from 1 species